rnacentral:lncRNA from 1 species
GAUGUGGAGAUCUGAACGAAUGCGACGCUGUACAUCCCUCAGAUCAGUGAGCUGCUGAACCGGGUUCCCUGACAGAUGCUGCUGCUUCUGAAAACCAACGACCUGCUGAGAGGCGUCGAGACUAUCCUGCAGACUAGAGCCAGCUCCAGCUCCUUCAUCAGGAUGUCCCGCUGCUGUACUCAUGCCAUCGCCAGGUUAGCUUUUUUUAAGGUUGAGGGGCUACAGUGGCAUGCAUCACAGAAAACCCCUCACUUCCCCCAGCCUGAAGGCAACAGCCAGCAGUCAGGAAGUCCAACCCUGCCAUACUAAUGCCCUGAGGCUAGAGAGAAGAUUUUAGCUGCCAAGCAUCGGAUGAUGGACGCAGUUAUCUGCUCAACAAGUCUCUUCCACACUCUCUGCUCAGCUGCACAGCUGAAACCAAAUUGCUGAAUCCCAGCUUCACCAUCCACCAUAAUGUGUCAUUUACUGUGUCCACAGUUAAUCCUGUCAGGCACGAAUUGCAGCUAUAGUGUGUUUCCAGGAGCUGUGCAAACUUGUAGUUAAUAAUUUCUGUGGAUGGGAUGCACUCGUAAGUGCACUAUUAAAUUUUUCUGUCCCCUUGAUAUUAGCUCUUUACAAUUUCUGUUGUAAACUAUUUCUCACGUGUUGUUGUUGUUUGUCAUGUCAGGAAAAUUUCCUUGGUUUGCAAUAGCUGAGCUUAUAGCCCAGAAAGAUGGAGAUAGCGCUUAAAAAAAAAAGAAGGAAAGAUUAAUUGAUUGAUCUGUGUUGGUCUUGAAUGAACCAAUAGUGUAUUUUUAUUAUAUUAGAAUGAUUUCUGAAGGAAGACUGGAGUAAUGGCUGUUAAAAAAAUAAGCUUUAUCAUUUUAUUUCAUUUAUUUACUUUUUUAUUAUUAUUUAAUUAUUUUAUUUAUUUUUACCAUUUUUAAUGAGACAAUACAAUUCUUUAAUAUGCCUUUGUGCUUUUAUUAAAAUAGUAUUUUCUCCUUUCAGAGCUCUAAAUGAGACAAACUGUCUUUUCUAGC